rnacentral:lncRNA from 1 species
CACGGCCGGGUAGAGUAGCAGGAAGCGGAGCAGGCUGGGGAGGAGCCCCCGCGACGGCGAGGCACGAGGGAUGGAGAGGAGGAGGGCACGGCCGAGCAGAGCAGCAGGAAGCAAAGCAGCCUGGGGGAGUGGGCCAGCGGGAGGGACGGAGAGGAGGAGGGCACGGUCCGGCAGAGCAGCAGGAAGGGGAGCCGUACAAGGGGAAGCGGGCCAGCAUCAGCCUCCACCGCCGAUCUCGCCGUCUCGAGCAC